GACGAACGCUGGCGGCGUGCCUAACACAUGCAAGUAGGACGCAGUUGCGAACGGGUGAGUAACGCGUAGGUAACUACCUAUUAGUGGGGGAUCACUAUUGGAAACGAUAGCUAAUACCGCAUACUAGUAGAUGGACCUGCGUUGUAUUAGCGAGUAGGUAGGGUAAUGGCCUACCUAGGCAACGAUACAUAGCCGGCCUGAGGGGGUGAUCCGCCACCAGUGGACUGAGACACGGCCCAGACUCCGACGGGAGGCAGCAGUAGGGAAUCUUCGGCAAUGGGGGGAACCCUGACCGAGCAACGCCGCGUGAGUGAAGAAGGUUUUCGGAUCUGAAAGCUCUGUUGUUAAGGAAGCGGUACUUGACCAGAAAGGGACGGCUAACUACGUGCCAGCCGCCGCGGUAAUAC
rnacentral:rRNA from 1 species